GACGAACGCUGGCGGCGUGCCUAAUACAUGCAAGUCGAGCGGCAGCACUUCGGGUGGCGAGCGGCGAACGGCUGAGUAACGCGUGGGAACGUGCCCCAAAGUGAGGGAUAACUUCGAGAAAUCGGAGCUAAUACCGCAUAUGAUCUUCGGAUUAAAGAAUUUAUUCGCUUUGGGAGCGGCCUGCGUACGAUUAGAUUGUUGGUGAGGUAAAGGCUCACCAAGUCGACGAUCGUUAGCUGGUCUGAGAGGAUGAUCAGCCAGACUGGAACUGAGACACGGUCCAGACUCCUACGGGAGGCAGCAGUAAGGAAUCUUCCACAAUGGGCGAAAGCCUGAUGGAGCAACACCGCGUGCAGGACGAAGGCCUUCGGGUUGUAAACUGCUUUUAUUAGCGAAGAAUAUGACGGUAACUAAUGAAUAAGGGUCGGCUAACUACGUGCCAGCAGCCGCGGUAA
rnacentral:rRNA from 1 species